AGCUCCAAUAGCGUAUAUUAAUGCUGUUGCAGUUAAAAAGCUCGUAGUUGGAUCUCGGGCCGGGGCUUGCGGUCCGCCUUGGCGCGGUCACUGCUCGCUUCCCCGGCCGCGUACGUUGUGUCGCGUCGUCCCUUGAUGCUCUUAACUGAGCGUCUCGGGUGGCCGGCGAGGUUACUUUGAAAAAAUUAGAGUGUUCAAGGCAGGCCCGUAGAGCCUGUAUAACGGUGCAUGGAAUAAUGGAAUAGGACCUCGGUUCUAUUGCGUUGGUUUUCGGAACCCCGAGGUAAUGAUUAAGAGGGACAGACGGGGGCAUUCGUAUUGCGGCGUUAGAGGUGAAAUUCUUGGAUCGCCGCAAGACGAACUACUGCGAAAGCAUUUGCCAAGAAUGUUUUCAUUAAUC
rnacentral:rRNA from 1 species